UCGAUGUGGGUCAUUCCUUCCUUUGAUGCUAUUAUAUGGGUAAGAAGGGUUUUGAUUCCAUGUAUUAAAAAAAUUGAUCUAAUAUCAUAAAGAAUAAUCAAGAGAGUCAACAAAAAAAAAUUUGAAAAAUAAAUUCAAUAGUAGUGCAUAUCAGAUUUACAUAGUUCAACAUUCAUAUUUUGCCUAUCCCAAGUGAUAUUUG
rnacentral:lncRNA from 1 species